AGUGAACGCUGGCGGCGUGCCUAACACAUGCAAGUCGAACGGGCUAGUGCUUCGCACUAGUCUCUUUCUGGGGUUGUUACUCUAAGGCUACCUGCUAAAGUUAUUGCUUUAAAGCAGGGGUUUUAGGAGACUUUCCCCGAAAGGGGCCAGUGCGGAGCACUGGCCAGUGGCGAACGGGUGAGUAACACGUGGGUAAUCUACCCUCGAGUGGGGAAUAACGUCUGGAAACGGACGCUAAUACCGCAUAAAGUAUCAAGGCCGCAUGGACUAGGUACCAAAGAUUUAUCGCUUGUAGAUGGGCUCGCGUCUGAUUAGAUAGUUGGUGAGGUAACGGCUCACCAAGUCGACGAUCAGUAGCCGGACUGAGAGGUUGAACGGCCACAUUGGAACUGAGAAACGGUCCAGACUCCUACGGGAGGCAGCAGUGGGGAAUCUUGGGCAAUGGGCGAAAGCCUGACCCAGCGACGCCGCGUGAGGGAAGACGGUCCUAGAGAUUGUAAAACUCUUUUCUGAGGAAAG
rnacentral:rRNA from 1 species